rnacentral:rRNA from 1 species
UACGUAGGGCGCAAGCGUUGUCCGGAAUUAUUGGGCGUAAAGAGCUCGUAGGCGGCUUGUCACGUCUGCUGUGAAAUCCCGGGGCUCAACCCCGGGCGUGCAGUGGAUACGGGCUGGCUAGAGGCAGGCAGGGGGAGAACGGAAUUCCCGGUGUAGCGGUGAAAUGCGCAGAUAUCGGGAGGAACACCGGUGGCGAAGGCGGUUCUCUGGACCUGUACUGACGCUGAGGAGCGAAAGCGUGGGGAGCGAACAGG